rnacentral:rRNA from 1 species
GACGAACGCUGGCGGCGUGCCUAAUACAUGCAAGUUGAGCGCUGAAGGUUGGUACUUGUACCAACUGGAUGAGCAGCGAACGGGUGAGUAACGCGUGGGGAAUCUGCCUUUGAGCGGGGGACAACAUUUGGAAACGAAUGCUAAUACCGCAUAAAAACUUUAAACACAAGUUUUAAGUUUGAAAGAUGCAAUUGCAUCACUCAAAGAUGAUCCCGCGUUGUAUUAGCUAGUUGGUGAGGUAAAGGCUCACCAAGGCGAUGAUACAUAGCCGACCUGAGAGGGUGAUCGGCCACAUUGGGACUGAGACACGGCCCAAACUCCUGCGGGAGGCAGCAGUAGGGAAUCUUCGGCAAUGGACGAAAGUCUGACCGAGCAACGCCGCGUGAGUGAAGAAGGUUUUCGGAUCGUAAAACUCUGUUGGUAGAGAAGAACGUUGGUGAGAGUGGAAAGCUCAUCAAGUGACGGUAACUACACAGAAAGGGACGGCUAACUACGUG